CAGUAGCCGCGGUAAAACGAAGGGUGCAAGCGUUAAUCGGAAUUACUGGGCGUAAAGCGUGCGUAGGCGGUUUGUUAAGUCUGUUGUGAAAUCCCCGGGCUCAACCUGGGAAUGGCAAUGGAUACUGGCAAGCUAGAGUGUGUCAGAGGAUGGUGGAAUUCCCGGUGUAGCGGUGAAAUGCGUAGAGAUCGGGAGGAACAUCAGUGGCGAAGGCGGCCAUCUGGGACAACACUGACGCUGAGGCACGAAAGCGUGGGGAGCAAACAGGAUUAGAUACCCGCGUAGUCCCUGUCUCUUAUAC
rnacentral:rRNA from 1 species